UACGUAGGGAGCAAGCGUUGUUCGGAUUUACUGGGCGUAAAGGGCGCGUAGGCGGCGUGUCAAGUCGAUUGUGAGAUCUCCGGGCUUAACUCGGAACGGCCAAUCGAUACUGACGUGCUAGAGUGCAGAAAGGGCAAUCGGAAUUCUUGGUGUAGCGGUGAAAUGCGUAGAUAUCAAGAGGAACACCUGAGGCGAAGGCGGGUUGCUAGGCUGACACUGACGCUGAGUGCGCGAAAGCCAGGGGAGCAAACGGG
rnacentral:rRNA from 1 species